rnacentral:rRNA from 1 species
AUAGCCAUACCACCCUGAACACACUCAAUUGUCUAAUCUCGGAAGCUGAGCAGGGUCAGGCCUGGUUAGUAUUGGAUGAGAGAAAUAUCAUGUGAGCCACAUAUC